rnacentral:rRNA from 1 species
UACGAAGGGGGCUAGCGUUGCUCGGAAUUACUGGGCGUAAAGGGCGCGUAGGCGGUUCUGUUAGUCAGGCGUGAAAUUCCUGGGCUCAACCUGGGGGCUGCGCUUGAUACGGCGGGACUAGAGGAUGGAAGAGGCUCGUGGAAUUCCCAGUGUAGAGGUGAAAUUCGUAGAUAUUGGGAAGAACACCGGUGGCGAAGGCGGCGAGCUGGUCCAUCACUGACGCGGAGGAGCGACAGCGUGGGGAGCAAACAGG